CCAGAAAAAAGCCAUUGCUUAAAGAAGAAAAAUAAGCAAAAAGGAAUGAUGGAUGGCGCUAAAUACAAGGAAAUUAUUGUAUACAGUUCUAACUUCCACAGGUGGAUGAACAGUUUCAACCUGUAAAAAAUGAUUGAGGGAAACCCGUUUCAGUCAUCCAGAGUCUUGAGACUGGGAUGGAAGUUCAUCUUUCCACCAGGACAAAGACCCUAAGCAUACUGCUAUAGCAACACUCGAGUGGUUAACGGGGAAACAUUUAAAUUUCUUGGAGUGGCCUAGUCAAAGCCCAGACCUCAAUCCAAUUGAGAAUGUGUGGUAUGACUUAACGUACACCAGUGGAACCCAUCCAACUUUAAGGAGCUGGAGCAGUUUUGCCUUGAAGAAUGGGCAAACAUCCCAGUGGCUAGAUGUGCCAAGCUUAUAGAUACAUAUCCCGAGAGACUUGCAGCUGUAAUUGCCUGUUGAUUCGUGAUAAAAUAGGGAACUAGGCAGCUGAUUUUACAGGUAAGGGAGAUUGUGGACCUCAACAGUGCUCCAGCUAUAUAUCGGAGUAUUGAGUCUAAAAUACAAACUUUUCCAGAUCAGCCAAUUAGACCAAAGAAACACUAUAAAGUCCAUUAUCAUAAACGCAUCUUUCAGUUUGGACUGCUCAUCCACCUGUGGAAGUUAGAGUUUGAAAGUUAACAUACAUACGUCAGGUGUUGUGCAAUAACUUUUAAAAACUUAAAAAAAAAAAAAAACUGUGGUGCCUUAGCAGACUUUUGUAGGCUCAUUCAGUGGAAAGAUGAGUUUGUCUUGGAAGACCAAAAUGAGAAUAUCAAAGGGAUUAUCCUCAAUACCUUUCCCUAUCUCCCUGGGGAUUGUUUCCGUGCUUCAGACAUGUGGUGUCCAGUCCGUUGAUGACCUUAAAUAUGUCCAACAAGAGGACAUUAAAAGACCUGUUGCCUAUUAUACAGCAAAGAAAAAUACUGGAAGCUUUCAGAAUAGGCAAUACUUAUCCAGACAGAUUUAUUUUCAUCAGGUACAUUCAUUGUCAUCUAAUAAAGUGUAAUCCUUGCUGCGUACAGUGCGUACCAUUAUCCACUGCAAAUUUCAUUAGAUCAACGGUUCCCAAACUUUUUAGGGCCAUGCCCCCUCUUCUGCAUCCCGACUGGAAUAAUGUGCCAAUGCAAAUCCCCACAAUAAAACAAAAAGAAAAGAAACAGCCUAUUUAUAGGCCCAAUGAGAGUACAGUUUACCCAUGCCCGGCGGCCCGUGUCCUGCAGCCAACACCCCAUGCCCGGCUACUUUUUGCCCACCGGAGGUUCCCUGACCGCCGUCCCGGGCCGCUUACUGGAGUUCCCCCAGCUGCCGUCC
ensembl:lncRNA